rnacentral:rRNA from 1 species
GACGAACGCUGGCGGCGUGCCUAAUACAUGCAAGUAGAACGCUGAAGGAGGAGCUUGCUUCUCUGGAUGAGUUGCGAACGGGUGAGUAACGCGUAGGUAACCUGCCUGGUAGCGGGGGAUAACUAUUGGAAACGAUAGCUAAUACCGCAUAAUAGCAGUUGUUGCAUGACAACUGUUUGAAAGGUGCAAUUGCACCACUACCAGAUGGACCUGCGUUGUAUUAGCUAGUUGGUGGGGUAACGGCUCACCAAGGCGACGAUACAUAGCCGACCUGAGAGGGGGAUCGGCCACACUGGGACUGGGACACGGCCCAGACUCCUACGGGAGGCAGCAGUAGGGAAUCUUCGGCAAUGGACGGAAGUCUGACCGAGCAACGCCGCGUGAGUGAAGAAGGUUUUCGGAUCGUAAAGCUCUGUUGUAAGAGAAGAACGAGUGUGAGAGUGGAAAGUUCACACUGUGACGGUAUCUUACCAGAAAGGGACGGCUAACUACGUG